rnacentral:rRNA from 1 species
GAUGAACGCUGGCGGCGUGCCUAACACAUGCAAGUCGAACGGAGUCCCGCCUUUAAGACCUUCGGGUCAAAGAGGGGAAGACUGAGUGGCGGACGGGUGAGUAACACGUUUGCAACCUGGCUCAUAGAGGGGGAUAACAGAGAGAAAUUUCUGCUAAUACCUCAUAAGCACACACUGCCUCAUGGCAGAGGGUGAAAAGAGAAUCGCUAUGAGAUGGACCCGCGUCUGAUUAGCCAGUUGGCAGGGUAAGAGCCUACCAAAGCGACGAUCAGUAGCCGAUCUGAGAGGAUGAACGGACACAUUGGGACUGAGACACGGCACAAACUCCUAAGGGAGGCAGCAGUGGGGGAUAUUGCACAAUGGGGAGAACCCUGAUGCAGCGACGCCGCGUGAGUGAAGAAGUAUUUCGGUAUGUAAAGCUCUAUCAGCAGGGAAGAUAAUGACAGUACCUGAAGAAGAAGCCACGGCUAACUACGUG